rnacentral:rRNA from 1 species
AGCAGUCGCCGCGGGAAAACGAAGGGGGCUAGCGUUGCUCGGAAUGACUGGGCGUAAAGGGCGCGUAGGCGGAUGGCACAGUCAGAUGUGAAAUUCCCGGGCUUAACCUGGGGGCUGCAUUUGAUACGUGUUGUCUAGAGUGAGGAAGAGGGUCGUGGAAUUCCCAGUGUAGAGGUGAAAUUCGUAGAUAUUGGGAAGAACACCGGUGGCGAUGGCGGCGACCUGGUCCUUGACUGACGCUGAGGCGCGAAAGCGUGGGGAGCAAACAGGAUUAGAUACCCGCGUAGUCCCUGUCUCUUAUAC